rnacentral:lncRNA from 1 species
GGAGGUUCUGGGGCGCAGAACCGCUACUGCUGCUUCGGUCUCUCCUUGGGAAAAAAUAAAAUUUGAACCUUUUGGAGCUGUGUGCUAAAUCUUCAGUGGGACAAUGGGUUCAGACAAAAGGUAAGUUACUACAGUACGUGGCUUUGAUCUCAACAUUUCAGUGGGGACUGAACUCCUUGUUUAAAAUAGUUUAUCAAACUAAUAUAUGAGUGUUUUGCGCCAGGCAUUGCUAACGAACACCUUUAUGAUCCUGUUGUCACAAACUACAGUCUAGUGAGAGAAUUAAAGUACUGUGUGAACAUGCUGUGAUAAAGUGUAGGGUGCUCUUAGAACACAUAGGAAGUAUGUCUUUUUCUUGUUCACAGCCAGGAAAGCUUCCUGGAGAAAAUAUUCUCUGGAAGGAAGCUGAAGGAUAAGAAAGAAUUUUAGGCAAAGAAGGGCAGGGUAGAGUGGGUCACUGAAGGUUCCCUGUGUGGACAGCAACCUUUGCAGAAUCCAGGAGAUCAUACAGUCUGGCACUUAGCACAGUUCCUGGCUGUGGUAAGCAAUCAAUGAAUGCCAUUUCUUGUUAUUGUUCCCUGAAUAGCAAGAUGAUCCAGACUUAGAGAGCUGAGAAGCUUGGGACUGUGUGUUACAUGAAGAAAGAAAGAGCCAAAGAAUUAGUGGAAAAUUAAGAUGAGAGCAUUUGGCUAUUGUGUCACCUAUGGGUACAUGCUCUCAGACCAUUUGAUUUAAACACACACCCUUAUUCAGCCAUCUGCCUUUUUAGUAUUGAGGUCAGUCCCUGUGGUAGAUCACAUUGACAGGCUGAGGGACCUUAGGAGAUGUUCAUGUCACAUGGUAUUUUAAUGCUGUGUCAGCAGUCUGUGGUUCUAAAUAGCUUACUAAAUUAACAUUUACCCCUUUGGGGUGUCUCAGUCCCAUAUUUCCUUUGAUUCUUUUUAUUAAAUUUGUAUAUUCUAAAUGAAGCCCUUAUAAACCUUUCCUUUGCCUUAUGAUUGCACAGCAGUUUUAUGAAUCUGGUAAACAGUUUACAAAAGGUGUAUUUUAUCUGUGGUCAAAUAGGUUUAAGCCUCUUGUUAUUAGGUUUUCCCAUGAAGCCCAGUGCUGCCCUUUAGCCAAAAAUAAACCAGAUGUUAUAAGAAGAGUGUUCUCUUAAGGGGUGCUAGUUUUGGGUAACUAUCCAGUUGUAUCUGACAGACAACUAAGUUGCCUGAUGGGGAAAAAAAAGACUAACUUAGUUCAUCCAGGUUUUUGGUCCAUUUUCCAGUAGGCAUGAUACCCUUGAGAGUAGAUGAGCCAGGGAUGUACUUAAUUUCACCCUUUAAAAUUGGGUGAAAUUCGAGUAACUGCUUUCUUCCUGUUUUUGGUCACUAAGAUCUGAAUCAGGGAUGAAGGGAUAAUAUGUAGACUCUAGGCUUGACAAAAUGCAAAAAUAAACUUGGACAACAUGACUCUUUCUUAGAAAUAUUCAACCCAAAUGUUUAUUUCAGAUUUAGCAUACAUUCCUGAGAAUUAUCAUUACAUUUAGGGAUGUAGGUAUUUUCCCAGUGGUUAUCUUAGUAAACUGGAAUUUGGUAAUACUUUUUAACACUUUAAACUAUUUGGAUUAUCUUAUAAACUGAUCUGUGGGCCGUGUGUAUUUUUAACUAUGUCUUUUAAAGGUACAAAAUGUGACUGACUUUAGAAUGAAAAUUAUUUUCCCUGGCAGAGUGAGUAGAACAGAGCGUAGUGGAAGAUACGGUUCCAUCAUAGACAGGGAUGACCGUGAUGAGCGUGAAUCCCGAAGCAGGCGGAGGGACUCAGAUUACAAAAGAUCUAGUGAUGAUCGGAGGGGUGAUAGAUAUGAUGACUACCGAGACUAUGACAGUCCAGAGGUGAGUGACCAGCGGCUGUAUAACCCCCCAAAACACUCUGAGCCUUAUAGUAAUAGAAAUAACAGCCAGGCAGCCAGGUCCAGUGGCCCCUUCCCAUAAUCCUAUCACUUUGGGAGGCCAAGGCGGCCAGAUCACUUGAGGUCAGGAGUUUAAGACCAGUCUGGCCAACAUAGUAAAACCCGUCUCUACUAAAAAUACAAAAAUUAGCUGAGUGGGGUGGUGGGCGCCUGUAAUCCCAGCUACUUGGGAGACUGAGGUAAGAGAAUCACUUGAAACCUGGGAGGCGGAGGUUGCAGUGAGCUGAGAUUGUAUCAGUGCUCUCCAGCAUGGGUGACAAAGCAAGACUCCAUCUC